rnacentral:rRNA from 1 species
ACGGUAACAGGCGAGAGCUUGCUCUUGUGCUGACGAGUGGCGGACGGGUGAGUAAUGCUUGGGAAUCUGGCUUAUGGAGGGGGAUAACAACGGGAAACUGUUGCUAAUACCGCGUAAAAUCGAAAGAUUAAAGUGUGGGACCGCAAGGCCACAUGCCAUGGGAUGAGCCCAAGUGGGAUUAGGUAGUUGGUGGGGUAAAGGCCUACCAAGCCGUCGAUCUCUAGCUGGUCUGAGAGGAUGGCCAGCCACACUGGAACUGAGACACGGUCCAGACUCCUACGGGAGGCAGCAGUGGGGAAUAUUGCGCAAUGGGGGCAACCCUGACGCAGCCAUGCCGCGUGAAUGAAGAAGGCCUUCGGGUUGUAAAGUUCUUUCGGUGAUGAGGAAGGCUUAAUGUUUAAUAGACAUUGAGAUUGACGUUAAUUACAGAAGAAGCACCGGCUAACUCCGUGCCAGCAGCCGCGGUAAUACGGAGGGUGCGAGCGUUAAUCGGAAUAACUGGGCGUAAAGGGCACGCAGGCGGAUUUUUAAGUGAGAUGUGAAAGCCCCGGGCUUAACCUGGGAACUGCAUUUCAGACUGGGAAUCUAGAGUACUUUAGGGAGGGGUAGAAUUCCACGUGUAGCGGUGAAAUGCGUAGAGAUGUGGAGGAAUACCGAAGGCGAAGGCAGCCCCUUGGGAAUGUACUGACGCUCAUGUGCGAAAGCGUGGGGAGCAAACAGGAUUAGAUACCCUGGUAGUCCACGCUGUAAACGCUGUCGAUUUGGGGAUUGGGGUUUAACUCUGGUGCCCGUAGCUAACGUGAUAAAUCGACCGCCUGGGGAGUACGGCCGCAAGGUUAAAACUCAAAUGAAUUGACGGGGGCCCGCACAAGCGGUGGAGCAUGUGGUUUAAUUCGAUGCAACGCGAAGAACCUUACCUACUCUUGACAUCC